GCAAUUGGAAGGAAAACGGUGCAAAGUUUUCCCUCUCUGACUUGUUUUUCUUGUUCCUCCCAGUUCCCUUUCUUUGGCCUGGCGUUCUUCACCGCGGUCCUUUCAAGUUCCAUGCAAUGCACGUGGUUCUGUCGUUCUUGUUCCACUCCUCUCUGUCUCAUCUUCCUCUUCUUCGGCUUCGGCAACUAUCCUUCACCCGCCUCUUUGAAGGCCGGCAAAUGAAAGAGAAGUCGUGCAAGGCGGAGGCUCCACAUUUGGUCCUCGUUUGUCCUGCUUCAGAGCUACGAACGAGGUCGGUCGCGGUUCUUGAGGCAAUCUCGAGUGAGCAUUAGUUAAGGUUUGAACCCAGUCCUAGACGCAUGAUGUCUUGUUGUCCGAGGGUGGUUCAGAAAUGAGAAUCAAGAUUGUGGAUCCUGCCAACAAGAGAUCGCCUUUUUGAAGGCUUUUAACUGGAGUUGGCCUAUGUACGAAUGCAUGCAUGCUUGCAUGCUUGCAUUCUCUCGUAGAAAGAAGGCCACAGCAACACACCGCCCUAAGGAGAUUGGCUUUGUUUCACUUUGAUUCACAAGUGCCGGGAAGAGGGGUCCUUAAUGCCAAUUUAGUGUGCUUCAAGACAUUUCUUAAGGACUUUCAUCCGUUCACAUAGUCAUUCAAGUCCAGAAACGGCCAAGUCCAUCCAACCAACGACCAACUGCCAACGGCCAACAGACCACGAAGGAAGUCCAGCUGUUCGCGCCAUUGCGGAGAUUACUUCAUUUUCUUCUCGUUUCCCUCGUUUCCUCGGCACAUUCCAUUGGAGUCUUAGCGAGUCUGAAAGUGUGUCUGGUCAAUUUGGUGGGAAGUGGGAAGUGGGAGGGCGAGUGGGAGUGGUAAAUCCUCAUCAAAAUUCUAAGGGCCAUGACAAUUCGAGAGUGGUCCAAAGUUUCAAACGCCACCACCGCUGCCCUGCCCUCCGCAGCAAUGGUGGCAACAACCACCACCACCACCACCACAACAAACACCAUCAUCUCCGACGAGAGCAACAGCAACAGCAACGACGACAACACCAAUUCAUUUGGGCACUUCACCGAGUGAGCUUCGAAUGGUUGAUUCGAGUCUAAUGCGGGAAACGAGGCCCUCGAGUCUUAGAGGAUCGUCGGCUUGGAUCUCUUCCGAGGAUCUGUUGACAGAUGGCAGUAGCACCGACGACGACGGAGAUGGAGCUUGUCGCGAGGAUUUGAGUCAUCUAGCUGAGAGAAAUGCAGAGCUUUUCGCCAUCGCGGACAACAAAAUGAUCUGGCGACUGCCAAAUGUAUUCAAGAGUCCCAUUCAAUGCGAACCUGAGAUUCGAAAAGCUGGUCUCCUUGAAGUCUCCUCAAAGGUUCCUCAGGAUUUGCAGAACCUGUCAUUCACCCAACACGAAACUACAACACCUUCCCUACUUGCUCAUUCAGUGGAGCCCGAGAUUUGUUGGAAGCCAAAACGAGGAUCGUCGUUCAAGGCCCACCAAGAUUUGGCGCGAAAGGUUUUGCAAUAUGAGGCCUUUGUUGACAGAUCUCAGGAGGACGAGAAGAAGCUAUAAACAUCAUCAUUUCCAUUGAACUUACCCACUGAGGCAGACAUAUUUAUAAAGAUAACAUGUUUAGAGAGGAGCGCUCCACUCGGCUGGCUGAAACCCCCUUUAAGCGGCGCUUCGGGUAAUCCACCAGGGUUCUCCUCGAAGCUCUCAUCGAACAACCAAAGGCUUACGGAUGAUUGGUCUAGCUUAGGCGGUUUCAAUACGAUCUGACUAAACGGCGAAACCUUGGCUUUAAUGGUUUCAGGAUCCCCAGGAUUGCUGAGCGGAGAAGUUUGUGGGGAUGGUAUAGGUUAACACCGCGAUUACGUUUCCUCCCAAGUUAUCACCUCCACAGAUUGAGUAUAUGACUAUGGAAGGCCAAGACCCAAAGCAAGUGGUAGGAGAAAACAGAAUACUUCUAUUGCCGUCAUUAAUCUCUCAACUCAAUUUCGACUAAUUUUCAAAAUAAGCAAUUUCAGUUCGGCUUCUCUUUUGGUGGCUGAAUUGCGUAC